CCUACGGGCGGCAGUAGUGGGGAAUAUUGCGAAAUGGGCGAAAGCCUGACGCAGCGACGCCGCGUGAGGGAUGAAGGUCUUCGGAUCGUAAACCUCUGUCAGCAGGGAAGAACGGUCACUGUGCUAAUCAGCAGUGAAUUGACGGUACCUGCAAAGGAAGCACCGGCUAACUCCGUGCCAGCAGCCGCGGUAAUACGGAGGGUGCGAGCGUUAAUCGGAAUUACUGGGCGUAAAGCGCUCGUAGGCGGUAUGUCAAGUCAAGGGUGAAAUCCCCGCGCUCAACGUGGGAACUGCCUUUGAAACUGGCAGACUGGAGUGUGUGAGAGGAUAGUGGAAUUCCAGGUGUAGGGGUGAAAUCCGUAGAUAUCUGGAGGAACAUCAGUGGCGAAGGCGACUAUCUGGCACAUAACUGACGCUGAGGAGCGAAAGCGUGGGUAGCAAACAGGAUUAGAUACCCGGGUAGUC
rnacentral:rRNA from 1 species